GCACAGUGGUUAUGCGUUUGGCUGCUAACCAAAAGGUCAGCAGUUCGACUCUGCC
rnacentral:tRNA from 1 species